CCGAGAUGCCGCCGCCCCGCCGCGGGGUCCGGCAGCGCCCGGAGCGGGGUCCCGCAGCGCCGGGGAGAAAGAUGUUGUUUAUAUUCCCUGUAAAGGAAAGUUCUGCUCAAAUGAAGUGGAUUCUUGCUGUACAUCAUCAUGGUUUCAUGAAGAAGAGUAAAAGGAACAGUCAAGAAUGACACCUGCAUGUGGAAUUACUAAACAAGUUAAAUCCCAGUGACUGUCGCUUUGUAAAAACUCUGCUGGCACCAGCAAACUGCAACUUCCUCUUUCAAAAAAACCCCCACCAUUCAGGUGUCAGAGAAAUAGCUAGCACAAAAUGCUCAGUUUAACAGCUAAUGAAUGUUUUACAGCUGCUCUCACAUCUGAAUUCUAUGAUUUUUUUUAAAAAACCCAGACAGUUAGCAGAUUAUUGGAAAUGGUUAAUUCACCAUCCCUGGAGGAAUUUAAAAGACAUAUUGAUGUGGCUCUUAGGAACAUGGUCUAGUUAAGGAGCUGGCAUAGUUGGAUGAUCUUAAAGGUGUUUUCCAACUUAAACCAUUCUAUUAUUCUGUGAUUCUGUGACUGGACUGUAUGCAAUCUAAACAUUGGCUACAAGGCUGAGUAUGGGCCUGCUGGUCAGACAAUGGCUCCUGAAGGCCACUGGAUAUUGCUUUAACUGCAAAUUCUGUCCUUUUCAGUCAACAGAGAGCGCACAAGUCACUGUGAUUUUGCAGUUGGUGUAAGUGAUCAGGAGUGUCAAGAGGAUACCCAUGCUUGAUCUGUCCUAGGGAAUGCAGUUCUACAAGACUCCCUUCUACAUCCUCACAACACAGGCUGCUCAGCCUUGCCGAGAAAAGAAAGCCAGUAGGUAGAAGCUGGAGUGGCACCAUCCUUGGCAAAGUAGGAGAGCCAGAGUGAGAUGGGCAAUCUCACAGUGAUGAAAACUGCAGAUUAAAAAGUAGCAGUCAAAAGUAGUCUUUCCACGUGCAUGUGUGUAAGGGAGUUUCUUGGCAUAAAUCCAAGCUACAGCACCGUGCUUCGCUAGCAAGAGACUGGAGCCACCGCAAGAAAAGACCUCACAUGACAAAGCUGAGCCCUUCUGUGCUCCCCAGAUGCUCUGCUAGAGAUGAGCAUUUAUGAAAUGAACUCAGGGAGAAGAAGAAAGAAACAUUAAUAUUCCAUAUGUUGGUUUUUGGGGAUCGAUAUUCAAGGAGGUUUUUGUUCCUGGACAAACCCACAGAAUUACUGUAAGAUUUAGGCAUUUUGCUGAAUAUUUCAACUACUCAGGUGAGAAUAAAAAUAAAUUCUUCAAUUAAAGCUGUACUGUGAGUGUCUAGUUACUGAAGGUUAGUCAUAUCUAGAUGAAAAAACAGCCUUUGCUGUUCUACAUGAAGACAGGAGUUUAAACAAGUACAGGCACCUGGUGUGACUCUUGAGAUGUGACCUCCUGUACAGGACUCCAUGAUCCUUGUGGGUCCCUUCCAACUCAGUAUAUUCUGUGAUUCUGUGAAAUAUAGAAUAGGGACUACUUGCAAAAGUAUAGUUAAAAUAUUAAUUCAAACGCAAGUAUAUUUUCAUUUAAGAAGGGAUUUACAGUACACUGAAACAAGAUGUACUGGAGCAGGUAGUUAUACAAUGAUUGCCAGUGUAACUAGCUUGUAAAUUGCAAAGUUUUCCCAUGAAGACAAAAUUUCAGGAAAAUCCAGUUGGGCUCAGGAUGGAGUAGAAGGACAUCAGAUAUUUUGAACUGGAGAGGUUUAUCCUCUACUCUGCAGAAAGCUAAAGUUAGGAUUUGGUUUAGGGCCAGGGAAAUCAAAGACCUCAGAGCUGAAAUGUGAGCAACAUCUUGUUCAGCCCAAAGACCUGGGAUGGCAGUGGGGCUCAGGACAAAGCUGUAGGUCAGUGUACAUCGUGAACAGGUGUUAUCUCCUGCAAGGACAGCUAGUUGUAAAGUUAGGGUCUGUGUUAGUUAUCUGAGGACCCCAUUGGAGCAAAGUCCAAUUGGCCAAAGUAAACUGUUCUUUCCAAUAUAGGCUAUCUGUAUUCUGCUGCAAAUUUUAGUUCUGAAAAUAGAAGAGCAUUUUUUUGUUCAAAAAAAUGUUCAAGUGACAUUAUCCUCUUUGGACAUUAUGGAAUGAAUCAGGUAUAAGAAAAAAUUGUAAGCAAAAAUUUUUAAUAACCCAGAAAUAACAAAACACCAUGGACAGUAAUUUGUACCAGAUGCUACAGUAUAGGUGUAAAAGUAAAUAUAAUUAGGCCUAGUAAGAGGCAAAAUAACAUCACUAAUUGCUUUAAAAUAAGUAAUUCUUACUUAUUGUUUUGAAAAAAAGCCACUGACUAUUGAAGAAAACCUUUUCUAUGGAUGGUGUCCCUUUUUUUUAUUGGUUCUGUGCGUGUAACAAUCUAUUUUUAAGAUUUCUUUAAGAUAUCAGCUGCAGAAGAAGCAGGGGAAUGACCAGCUGUUCAAAAGCUAUUUCAUGAUCCAGAGGACUGUGUAAUGAAAAAAAUUAGGGUUGCCAUGGUAAAAUAUUAUUUGUGUACAAAUAAAUGCCCUGCAGACAGUUUCUCCCUCAGAUGACAUUAUUUUUGCAGAACUUUGUAGAAAACAGACGACAAAGCCAAAUAUGACGAUAUGUGCAGAGAUGGAAAAUGGGGGGGAAAAAAGGAAGUGAGACAAGAAAAGGAAAAUUUAUUCAGUUCUGUUGAAAAUCAUUAGUGCCUGUUUUUUAGAAUUGAGUGCAGUGGACCUGCAUGUGCCUUAUCUUGCUGUAAAGUAGUAUUCCAGGGGCUUCUUCAGACUGAAAUAGGGUAAUGAACACCCCUGGAAGGGGCAAAAUUUCGGCCCAAAAAAGUAGCAAAAUCCUGCAGAGAAGGGUUACCCUCUUUAAGAGAGACCUCCUGUCGCAGGACUAGUUCAGCUGUGUCAGGACCUUUUCUGUCUCCUGAGUCAGCAAAGAACCAGCAGACACCAUGUCUGCAUUGUAUCCUUGGGGUUUAGAGUCCUACAGCUGGAAGUCACUGCACUCACCUAGCUGCUGGGCUGGGAUUUUGUGUGGCUUGAAGUCACGCGGUAAUCCACCUCUUAGCCGGGUAUCUCCUCCUGCCUGUGUCAGAUCUUUCUCUCUGGAACCAUCUCUUCUGUCAAAACAUGCUGAAUAGAGGAAGGACAUGUACAUAUGUGCAUAAA